rnacentral:rRNA from 1 species
AGAGUUUGAUCCUGGCUCAGGACGAACGCUGGCGGCGCGCCUAACACAUGCAAGUCGAACGAGAGAUGAAGAGCUUGCUCUUCAGAUCGAGUGGCGAACGGGUGAGUAACGCGUGAGGAACCUGCCUCAAAGAGGGGGACAACAGUUGGAAACGACUGCUAAUACCGCAUAAGCCCACGGCUCGGCAUCGAGCAGAGGGAAAAGGAGCAAUCCGCUUUGAGAUGGCCUCGCGUCCGAUUAGCUAGUUGGUGAGGUAACGGCCCACCAAGGCGACGAUCGGUAGCCGGACUGAGAGGUUGAACGGCCACAUUGGGACUGAGACACGGCCCAGACUCCUACGGGAGGCAGCAGUGGGGAAUAUUGCACAAUGGGGGAAACCCUGAUGCAGCGACGCCGCGUGGAGGAAGAAGGUCUUCGGAUUGUAAACUCCUGUUGUUGAGGAAGAUAAUGACGGUACUCAACAAGGAAGUGACGGCUAACUACGUGCCAGCAGCCGCGGUAAAACGUAGGUCACAAGCGUUGUCCGGAAUUACUGGGUGUAAAGGGAGCGCAGGCGGGAGAACAAGUUGGAAGUGAAAUCCAUGGGCUCAACCCAUGAACUGCUUUCAAAACUGUUUUUCUUGAGUAGUGCAGAGGUAGGCGGAAUUCCCGGUGUAGCGGUGGAAUGCGUAGAUAUCGGGAGGAACACCAGUGGCGAAGGCGACCUACUGGGCACCAACUGACGCUGAGGCUCGAAAGCAUGGGUAGCAAACAGGAUUAGAUACCCUGGUAGUCCAUGCCGUAAACGAUGAUUACUAGGUGUUGGAGGAUUGACCCCUUCAGUGCCGCAGUUAACACAAUAAGUAAUCCACCUGGGGAGUACGACCGCAAGGUUGAAACUCAAAGGAAUUGACGGGGGCCCGCACAAGCAGUGGAGUAU